rnacentral:rRNA from 1 species
UACAGAGGUCUCAAGCGUUGUUCGGAUUCAUUGGGCGUAAAGGGUGUGCAGGUGGCGCGCUAAAGUCGGGGUGUGAAAUUUCGGGAGCUUAACUCCGAAACUGCAUUCGAUACUGGCGUGCUUGAGGACUGGAGAGGAGACUGGAAUUCAUGGUGUAGCAGUGAAAUGCGUAGAGAUCAUGAGGAAGACCAGUGGCGAAGGCGAGUCUCUGGACAUUUCCUGACGCUGAGGCACGAAAGCCAGGGGAGCAAACGGG